UGCGAUAAACACUGAACCUCUGCAUGUUUGUAUGGAUUGACCUACAUUCUAAUUAAAAUGGCAACUUGAAGGCCGGUUAUCUUGUUGUGCGUAAUAGCGUGCUCAAAAAGUAUAAACCAUUGAAAUUGUAUCACGUGUUUUCAGUUUCGGAGCGGAUACUUCGCAGGGUUCAUCGAUAUAAGACAAUUCACAGCUAUGCGUGUUCUGGUGCUUUUAUUGUUAUCGGCAUAUCUUGUUUUGGGUGUUUCAGGUGGAAAAAAGGGUGCCUCUUGGAAAAACACUCUUUACUUUGACUCAGAUAUAUAUAACACCUCAGUUGAAAUAUAUAACAUUCGAGCAGACGAAUUAAUCAUUAAGCUUAUACCGCUCGUCGGUGCAGAUGAACAAAUUCGAGGUGUGACGGCCGUUAAAAAGAGUUUGUUUUGGUGGCAGAUAACAUAUUUUUAUUUGUAUCACAUGUUUGUCGUUUUUGAAACAGACAAAUGGUGGUGGUCAAUUGAAAAAUCAUCUGAUGGUAUAACUCUUCAGCGCAGCAAAUAUCCAGCAGCUGUAUACUAUUUAUUGAGAAAAGAAAUACGCCCACUUCGUCAUACGAUGAAAACCAUGAAAAGUGAUUACGGCACAAGCAGCGUUCACGGUCUUAUCGCCUGGCUUUAUCAUAACGACGAGAUAAACACCCGGUAUCAUUACAUUAAGUACAACUGCAAACAUUUUGCCACAGAUGUCUUUAAUCUUUUAUCAAAAACAAAAUGGUUGUAGGAUUUUCAACACUAUUUUGACACAUGAUGAAUAAUUGAUUGACCGUAUUUGCCAUGCGCUUAGAGAAGAAAUAUUGUAUCCAUUAUUGGUGUCCAUAUCCGUAUUUUCCAUGUGCUUAGUGAAGAAAUAUUGUAUCCAUUAUUGGUAUCCAUAUAUAAAUCCAUAUUUGAUCAUUAUCACUCUGAAAAAAGGUAGAAACAUAACGUUAAGGGGUGUUGCUGCAGUUUUGCUUAUUUAUUUUCCAUCUAAUAGAUCUUGUCGAAAAUUUAUAUUUAAGAUAUAUAUACAAAUACCAUAUGAAAAAUGAAAUAAAAACAAAGGGUC